UACGUAGGGUGCGAGCGUUGUCCGGAAUUAUUGGGCGUAAAGAGCUCGUAGGCGGUUCGUCGCGUCGGCUGUGAAAACCUGAGGCUCAACCUCAGGCCUGCAGUCGAUACGGGCGGGCUUGAGUACUGCAGGGGAGACUGGAAUUCCUGGUGUAGCGGUGAAAUGCGCAGAUAUCAGGAGGAACACCGGUGGCGAAGGCAGCUCGCUGGGACGUUACUGACACUGAGGCGCGAAAGCGUGGGGAGCGAACAGG
rnacentral:rRNA from 1 species